CAAAGAAAGCCCCCCUCGGCUGUUUCUCCGCUGUCUCCUCAGUGUGGUGAAGGGAAAAGACCAGCCAUGCAGCCAGCUCAGGGCCGGGUGUCCUUCGAAGAGGUGGCUGUGCAUUUCUCCAAGGGGGAGUGGAGCCUGCUGAGCCCAGCCCAGAGAGCCCUGUACAAGGAAGUCAUGCUGGAGAAUUUUGGGGCCGUGGCCUCUCUGGGGCCCGAGGUUGCCAAGCCUGACCUCAUUUCCAGGCUGGAAGGAGAAGAAGAG